ACCAGCAGACGAGACCCAAAUAGGACGAAACGUGAGUCCUGGAU
rnacentral:hammerhead_ribozyme from 1 species